UUGCACAGCCAUAUCACCCUGCAGCCCAAGACUGGUUGCCCACUGAAGCUAAGCAGGGUUGAGCCUGGUUAGUACCUGGAUGGGAGACCUCCUGGGAAAACUAGGUUGCUGUUGGAA
rnacentral:rRNA from 1 species